CUUGCUGAGAGGUGGGGGUGCCCGAAAGGGAGCCGUAACACAGGUGCUGCAUGGCUGUCGUCAGCUCGUGUCGUGAGAUGUUGGGUUAAGUCCCGCAACGAGCGCAACCCUUGUCCCUAGUUGCUACGCAAGAGCACUCUAGGGAGACUGCCGGUGACAAACCGGAGGAAGGUGGGGAUGACGUCAAGUCCUCAUGGCCCUUAUGGGUAGGGCUUCACACGUCAUACAAUGGUCGGAACAGAGGGUUGCCAAGCCGCGAGGUGGAGCCAAUCCCAGAAAACCGAUCGUAGUCCGGAUCGCAGUCUGCAACUCGACUGCGUGAAGCUGGAAUCGCUAGUAAUCGCGGAUCAACAUGCCGCGGUGAAUACGUUCCCGGGUCUUGUACACACCG
rnacentral:rRNA from 1 species